GAGGGUAUAGCUCAGUGGUGGAGUGUGUGCUUAGCAUGCACGAAUUCUGGGUUCAAUCCCCAGGGCCUCCA
rnacentral:tRNA from 1 species